rnacentral:rRNA from 17 species
UUUGUAUAAUGGGUCAGCGACUUUGUCUCUCGAGCAAGCUUAAGCCGGUAGGUGUAGGCGCAGCGAAAGCGAGUCUGAAUAGGGCGAUGAGUUCGAGGGAUAAGACCCGAAACCGAGUGAUCUAGCCAUGUGCAGGUUGAAGGUGCGGUAACACGCACUGGAGGACCGAACCCACGUCUGUUGAAAAAGACGGGGAUGACGUGUGGCUAGGGGUGAAAGGCCAA